ACGGUACAACGAGUCGCAAGCUCGCGAGAGUAAGCUAAUCUCUUAAAGCCGUUCUCAGUUCGGACUGUAGGCUGCAACUCGCCUACACGAAGUCGGAAUCGCUAGUAAUCGCGGAUCAGCAUGCCGCGGUGAAUACGUUCCCGGGCCUUGUACACACCGCCCGUCACACCAUGGGAGUUUGUAACGCCCAAAGUCGGUGGCCUAACCUUUAUGGAGGGAGCCGCCUAAGGCGGGACAGAUGACUGGGGUGAAGUCGUAACAAGGUAGC
rnacentral:rRNA from 1 species